GACGAACGCUGGCGGCGUGCCUAAUACAUGCAAGUCGAACGCUUCUUUCCUCCCGAGUGCUUGCACUCAAUUGGAAAGAGGAGUGGCGGACGGGUGAGUAACACGUGGGUAACCUACCCAUCAGAGGGGGAUAACACUUGGAAACAGGUGCUAAUACCGCAUAACAGUUUAUGCCGCAUGGCAUAAGAGUGAAAGGCGCUUUCGGGUGUCGUUGAUGGAUGGACCCGCGGUGCAUUAGCUAGUUGGUGAGGUAACGGCUCACCAAGGCCACGAUGCAUAGCCGACCUGAGAGGGUGAUCGGCCACACUGGGACUGAGACACGGCCCAGACUCCUACGGGAGGCAGCAGUAGGGAAUCUUCGGCAAUGGGCGAAAGUCUGACCGAGCAACGCCGCGUGAGUGAAGAAGGUUUUCGGAUCGUAAAACUCUGUUGUUAGAGAAGAACAAGGACGUUAGUAACUGAACGUCCCCUGACGGUAUCUAACCAGAAAGCCACGGCUAACUACGUG
rnacentral:rRNA from 1 species